rnacentral:antisense_RNA from 1 species
CUUGAUCGAGCCCACCCACAGCGGCUGCGUGGCCGGCCGGCCCUGCCCAUAGGUGGCCAGCAAUGCCUGCGCUUC